CAUUACUCCUCAAAACCACUUUGAAUUCUGUAUGUGCAUAGUAUUUUAGUGGUGCUAGAAUCAUAUAAUUAUUGAGCAUUUUGAAAUUUUUGGAAAUGGCAGCCAAACAAAUGGAAGAAGUACAGUGGAAAUUAGCAAUGUUGAAUUACCUUAGGGCCAACACCCUUGCCCAGUCCGGAAUGAUAUGCCCUUUUCGAAUGGCUCUUCUCCAGGUUAUUUUUCAUCUAUACAGUGUGCAAUGAAUUACUUUCCUGAUUUUUAAAUUUAUUUGGUAUCAAUUUUGCAGAUUAUUGCGUGAUAAAUCCCCUUUUUCAGAGCAAAAUCUGCAUGGGGAUGGCGUGGAUCGUGAGAAGGAAACAUCUCGGAUUUAAUGUAUUGCUGACUCUAAAUCCCGUUUUACACCCUGUUGGAUUUCCUUGCUAUUUAUGCAAUUUUUUUCUGGCAUUUUUAUUUGAUUUAGAAAUUUUUAACGAUCACCAGUAAUGAAAGUCAAUUUAUGCUGAAAAGAGCGACAUAUGCUUUUAGACAGUUCCAUAUUAAGAAUUUGC
rnacentral:lncRNA from 1 species